rnacentral:rRNA from 1 species
GAUGAACGCUAGCUACAGGCUUAACACAUGCAAGUCGAGGGGUAACGAGAGGAAAGCUUGCUUUCCUUGCCGACGACCGGCGCACGGGUGAGUAACGCGUAUCCAACCUGCCCCCAACUAGGGAAUAACCUUGCGAAAGUAAGACUAAUACCCUAUAAUUUCCUCAGAUGUCAUCUGACGAGGAAUAAAGAUUUAUCGGUUGUGGAUGGGGAUGCGUCUGAUUAGCUUGUUGGCGGGGUAACGGCCCACCAAGGCAACGAUCAGUAGGGGUUCUGAGAGGAAGGUCCCCCACAUUGGAACUGAGACACGGUCCAAACUCCUACGGGAGGCAGCAGUGAGGAAUAUUGGUCAAUGGGCAGAAGCCUGAACCAGCCAAGUAGCGUGCAGGAUGACGGCCCUAUGGGUUGUAAACUGCUUUUAUACAGGAAUAAAGUUAGCCACGUGUGGUUAUUUGUAGGUACUGUAUGAAUAAGGACCGGCUAAUUCCGUGCCAGCCGCCGCAGUAA